rnacentral:rRNA from 1 species
GAGGAAUAUUGGUCAAUGGACGGAAGUCUGAACCAGCCAAGUAGCGUGCAGGAAGACGGCCCUAUGGGUUGUAAACUGCUUUUAUACGAGAAUAAUUUGAUGCACGUGUGCGUUAUUGCAUGUAUCGUAUGAAUAAGGACCGGCUAAUUCCGUGCCAGCAGCCGCGGUAAUACGGAAGGUCCAGGCGUUAUCCGGAUUUAUUGGGUUUAAAGGGAGUGUAGGCGGUUUGUUAAGCGUGUUGUGAAAUUUAGGUGCUCAACAUUUAACUUGCAGCGCGAACUGUCAGACUUGAGUACACGCAACGUAUGCGGAAUUCAUGGUGUAGCGGUGAAAUGCUUAGAUAUGACGAAGAACUCCGAUUGCGAAGGCAGCUGACGGGAGCGCAACUGACGCUUAAGCUCGAAGGUGCGGGUAUCAAACAGGAUUAGAUACCCUGGUAGUCCGCACAGUAAACGAUGGAUGCCCGCUGUUGGUACCUGGUAUCAGCGGCUAAGCGAAAGCAUUAAGCAUCCCACCUGGGGAGUACGCCGGCAACGGUG